rnacentral:rRNA from 1 species
AACGCUGGCGGCAGGCCUAACACAUGCAAGUCGAGCCGGUAACAUUUCUAGCUUGCUAGAAGAUGACGAGCGGCGGACGGGUGAGUAAUGCUUGGGAACAUGCCUUGAGGUGGGGGACAACAGUUGGAAACGACUGCUAAUACCGCAUAAUGUCUACGGACCAAAGGGGGCUUCGGCUCUCGCCUUUAGAUUGGCCCAAGUGGGAUUAGCUAGUUGGUGAGGUAAUGGCUCACCAAGGCGACGAUCCCUAGCUGGUUUGAGAGGAUGAUCAGCCACACUGGGACUGAGACACGGCCCAGACUCCUACGGGAGGCAGCAGUGGGGAAUAUUGCACAAUGGGCGCAAGCCUGAUGCAGCCAUGCCGCGUGUGUGAAGAAGGCCUUCGGGUUGUAAAGCACUUUCAGUCAGGAGGAAAGGUUAGUAGUUAAUACCUGCUAGCUGUGACGUUACUGACAGAAGAAGCACCGGCUAACUCCGUGCCAGCAGCCGCGGUAAUACGGAGGGUGCGAGCGUUAAUCGGAAUUACUGGGCGUAAAGCGUACGCAGGCGGUUUGUUAAGCGAGAUGUGAAAGCCCCGGGCUCAACCUGGGAACUGCAUUUCGAACUGGCAAACUAGAGUGUGAUAGAGGGUGGUAGAAUUUCAGGUGUAGCGGUGAAAUGCGUAGANAUCUUGAANGAAUACCCGAUGGCGAAAGGCAGCCACCCUGGGGUCAAACACUUGACGCUCANUGUACC